CUCAGCCACGUCUUAUAUAACAGUAUAACACCUCCUUAUCUUUGCUGGAAAUCUCACCUGAAUGCAUCCUAAAACCGACAUUAGCUUUUUUAAAUUGGCCAUAUCACAUUGGCA